GAUGAACGCUAGCGACAGGCCUAACACAUGCAAGUCGAGGGGCAGCAUGGUAUCAGCUUGCUGAUACCGAUGGCGACCGGCGCACGGGUGAGUAACGCGUAUGUAAUCUGCCUGUAACAGAGGGAUAACCCGGAGAAAUCCGGCCUAAUACCUCAUAGCACAUAUUAUUCGCAUGAGUUUUAUGUUAAAGAGACUCGGUUACAGAUGAACAUGCGUUCCAUUAGCUGGUUGGCGGGGUAACGGCCCACCAAGGCAACGAUGGAUAGGGGUUCUGAGAGGAAGGUCCCCCACACUGGUACUGAGACACGGACCAGACUCCUACGGGAGGCAGCAGUGAGGAAUAUUGGUCAAUGGGCGAGAGCCUGAACCAGCCAAGUCGCGUGGAGAAGACUGCCCUACGGGUUGUAAACUCCUUUUACCUGGGAAUAAAGUGGAGUCGUGACUCUUUUGCAUGUACCUUAUGAAUAAGGA
rnacentral:rRNA from 1 species